UGCAGUCGAGGGGUAGAGUUCUUCGGGACUUGAGACCGGCGCACGGGUSCGUAACGCGUAUGCAAUCUACCUUUCACAGAGGGAUAGCCCAGAGAAAUUUGGAUUAAUACCUCAUAGUAUUAUGAAAUGGCAUCAUUUUAUAAUUAAAGUCACAACGGUGAAAGAUGAGCAUGCGUCCCAUUAGCUAGUUGGUAUGGUAACGGCAUACCAAGGCUACGAUGGGUAGGGGUCCUGAGAGGGAGAUCCCCCACACUGGUACUGAGACACGGACCAGACUCCUACGGGAGGCAGCAGUGAGGAAUAUUGGACAAUGGGCGCAAGCCUGAUCCAGCCAUGCCGCGUGCAGGAUGACGGUCCUAUGGAUUGUAAACUGCUUUUGUACGGGAAGAAACACUCCUACGUGUAGGAGCUUGACGGUACCGUAAGAAUAAGGAUCGGCUAACUCCGUGCCAGCAGCCGCGGUAAUACGGAGGAUCCAAGCGUUAUCCGGAAUCAUUGGGUUUAAAGGGUCCGUAGGCGGUUUAGUAAGUCAGUGGUGAAAGCCCAUCGCUCAACGGUGGAACGGCCAUUGAUACUGCUAAACUUGAAUUAUUAGGAAGUAACUAGAAUAUGUAGUGUAGCGGUGAAAUGCUUAGAGAUUACAUGGAAUACCAAUUGCGAAGGCAGGUUACUACUAAUGGAUUGACGCUGAUGGACGAAAGCGUGGGUAGCGAACAGGAUUAGAUACCCUGGUAGUCCACGCCGUAAACGAUGGAUACUAGCUGUUGGGAGCAAUCUCAGUGGCUAAGCGAAAGUGAUAAGUAUCCCACCUGGGGAGUACGUUCGCAAGAAUGAAACUCAAAGGAAUUGACGGGGGCCCGCACAAGCGGUGGAGCAUGUGGUUUAAUUCGAUGAUACGCGAGGAAY
rnacentral:rRNA from 1 species